GUCUAUGGCCACACCACCCUGAAAGUGCCUGAUCUCGGAAACUAAGCAGGACUGGGUCUGGUUAAUACCUUGAUGGGAAACCACCUGGGAAUACCAGGUGUUGUAGGCU
rnacentral:rRNA from 1 species